rnacentral:pre_miRNA from 1 species
UUAACUCAAAUCUGUAUGGAGCUGGAUCGUUUGCCUACGUUUUCCGCUAGGGGUGCUUUUCAAACUGCAUACAAAUUUGAGUUA